GGUAGUUGGCGAAUAAGGGGGGAUGGGGAGGGGGAUAUGGGGACAAAGGGGAGAUGGGGGGUCAAUGGGGGGGGACAAUGGGGGGGAUAGUUGGGGGGGGAAGGGGGAAAUGGGGGGUCAAUGGGGGGGAUGGGGAUAAGGGGGGACAAAAGGGGUAGGUGGGGGAGAAAGGGGGGAGACGAGGGGGGAUAUGGGGACAAAGGGGCCCAGGACAAGGGGGGGAUGGGGGACAGAAGGGUGGUGGGGGGACAAGGGGGGGGUGGGGACAGGAUGGGGACAUGGGAUAGGAUAUGGGGCAGGAUAUGGCGAUAGGAUGGGGAUAAGGGGAGGGGGAUAUGGGGCAGGAUGGGGAUAUGGGGCACAGAAAGGGGUAGCAGAGAAGGGCAGGAGGGGAGCCGUCAUCAGGAGCCGUCCCUGCACCGACCCACAGCCCCUGGGGGGGCACCAUGGGUGCAGGAUGGGCGGCUAGCGCCAACAGCUGUGGGUGCUGGAGGACCCAUAGCCUGCGGCUAAUGGGGUGGGGAGGGGCCUAUAUCCAGCACCCAUGGGUGCUGUGGGGCUCUUGACCCACAUCUGUGGGUGCUUGAGCGGUCUCCUAUAUGCUGCACCUAUGGGUGCUACAGCAAUCUGGUCCUGCACCCAUGGGUGCCUCACCUCAUCCUAUAGCACCCAUAGGUGCCUUACCUCGUCCAUUAGCACCCAUAGGUGCCUUACCUCAUCCUAUAGCACCCAUAGGUGCCUUACCUCGUCCAUUAGCACCUAUAGGUGCCUCACCUCGUCCUAUAGCACCCAUAGGUGCCUUACCUCAUCCUAUAGCACCCAUAGGUGCCUUACCUCGUCCUACAGCACCCAUAGGUGCCUUAUCUCACCCUAUAGCACCCAUAGGUGCCUUAUGUCAUCCUAUAGCACCCAUAGGUGCCUUACCUCGUCCAUUAGCACCCAUAGGUGCCUUAUCUCACCCUAUAGCACCCAUAGGUCCCUUACCUCGUCCAUUAGCACCCAUGGGUGCCUCACCUCGGCCUUGAGCUCGUCGAUGUGAUCCUUCAGCUGCCGGAUGUACUGAGCGGCGUCCGAGUGGUUGAGCUGCCCUUGGAUCAUCCCCUCCUCCCUCUAUGGGGCGCAGAGGGGUCACCCCGUCACCCAUAUCCCACCCUAUAUCCCACCCUAUAUCCCACCCUAUAUCCCACCCUAUAUGUCACCCUAUAUGUCCCCCCCCCACCCCACAAACCUGGAUCUCCAGCUCGGCCACCCUCUGUCUCAUCUCAGCCAGGGCCGCCAUGCUGUCGGCCUCGCGCAGCCUCACGGCCAUCACCUCCUCUUUGCUCUAUGGGGGGGGGGGGGGGACAUUGGGGGGCACCCAUGGGUGUCAAUGCCCACCCAAUGGACAGCCCCAUAGAAGGGACCCCAAUGGGUAUGGGGACCCCAAGGGGGGGGAUAUGGGGACCCCAAGGGAGGAGAUAUGGGGACAUAAGGGACCCCAGGGGGGGGAUAUGGGACAUAAGGGACCCCAGGGUGGGGAUAUGGGGACAUAAGGGACCCAAGGGGGGAUA
rnacentral:lncRNA from 1 species